rnacentral:rRNA from 1 species
GUGACGAGCGGCGGACGGGUGAGUAAUGUCUGGGAAACUGCCUGAUGGAGGGGGAUAACUACUGGAAACGGUAGCUAAUACCGCAUAAUGUCGCAAGACCAAAGUGGGGGACCUUCGGGCCUCAUGCCAUCAGAUGUGCCCAGAUGGGAUUAGCUAGUAUGUGGGGUAACGGCUCACCUAAGCGACGAUCCCUAGCUGGUCUGAGAGGAUGACCAGCCACACUGGGAACUGAGACACGGUCCAGACUCCUACGGGAGGCAGCAGUGGGGAAUAUUGCACAAUGGGCGCAAGCCUGAUGCAGCCAUGCCGCGUGUGUGAAGAAGGCCUUCGGGUUGUAAAGCACUUUCAGCGGGGAGGAAGGCGUUAAGGUUAAUAACCUUGGCGAUUGACGUUACCCGCAGAAGAAGCACCGGCUAACUCCGUGCCAGCAGCCGCGGUAAUACGGAGGGUGCAAGCGUUAAUCGGAAUUACUGGGCGUAAGGCGCACGCAGGCGGUCUGUCAAGUCGGAUGUGAAAUCCCCGGGCUCAACCUGGGAACUGCAUUCGAAACUGGCAGGCUAGAGUCUUGUAGAGGGGGGUAGA